AUUUUUCUUCCUCCUUUUCCUCGUUUUUUAAUUUCUCUCUCUGCGUGUCUUUUUUUUCUCUCCUCUCUCAUAUUCAUUGCAGUGUUGUUCUUAAACCCUUAUUUUAUGGGGUACCCUCUACCAAAACAGCCCCCAAACCACACCUCUGAACUCUAGUUUUCUAUAAUCUAGUUAACCCUCGUUUCACUGGGCUCUGUUCCCAAGAACAUCAAAAGGUUUAAUCCUCCAAACUCCUACAUGCAGGUACACAUAUAAACAAAACCCCCCCAAUUUUCUAUCACCCAGAUAUUAUGUAAUAUGAUGGAUUAAGAUUCCACCCCUCCACAAUUAUAUCUAUAUUUGAUAUCUCAUUUUAAAUGAUAUUUGGGUUAUUAUUUUGUAGAGGGACGGAGGGAAGGGAAAGAAAUAGGAUUCGGCGACGUCCUAGUGAGCGUUAUAAUCUUGGUGUGGUGAGAUGUUGAAUUGGUGUAUCAAAGGGCGUUGAGUCUUUGUCAGCUCUUUAUGCUAUUUUCUUUUUUAACAAUUUAGUCUUUUGGCACGUCAGAUUGGAAAGGCUCUAGACUUUUAUUGAGAGACCCUAAAACCGUAGUCCUUUCUGCUCUAUUGCUACUUGUAAUAAUCUUAUUAGCUUUACUCAGACAUCUUCAGAGAAUCUAUUAAAACCGCAACCAACUCCAGAAGACCAGACCCUAGUAGUCAGACUGAUUAACCUUAAAAAACAGAAAGAGGGAGAUGGAAGCUGUUUAGGGUUUGUGGGCGAGUGAGGUGUGCCAUGUCCAGAAUGAAGUUCAAAGGGAAAAAGAAGUUGCUGGAUUCGACUCACCUUCAAGACUAAGCAAUCAGCUUUAAAAAUAUUUCUACAUCAAGAAUUUAUUAAUAUGUUCCAAGCAAACAUGUACGAGAGUCACCAUAUGUUCGAUAUGACCCCCAAGAGCUCUGAAAAUGAUUUGGGAAAGCUGAAAGAUGACGAUUAUGAGACCAAAUCAGGCACUGAGAACACUGAAGCACCCUCCGGAGAUGAUCAAGAUCCUAACCAAUGCCCUAAAAGGAAACGUUACCACCGCCAUACCCAGCGCCAAAUCCAGGAAAUGGAAGCUUUCUUUAAGGAGUGCCCUCACCCCGAUGAUAAGCAACGAAAGGAGCUGAGCCGUGAGUUAGGUUUAGAGCCUUUGCAAGUCAAAUUUUGGUUCCAGAACAAGCGCACGCAAAUGAAGGCUCAUCAUGAACGAACAGAGAAUGCGAUUCUGAAGGCUGAGAAUGAAAAGCUCCGUGCGGAGAACAGUAGAUACAAGGAAGCCCUAAGUAAUGCCUCUUGCCCUAACUGCGGCGGCCCAGCAGCCCUGGGCGAGAUGUCCUUUGAUGAGCAGCAUUUGAGGAUUGAGAAUGCUCGUUUACGAGAAGAGAUUGACAGGAUAUCUGGAAUUGCUGCCAAAUAUUUGGGCAAGCCCUUAUCUUCUUUGUCCCAUCUUUCUUCUCAUUUACAUUCCCGGUCCCAUGAUGUUGGGGUCAGUAGUUUCGGGGCACAAUCGGACUAUGUGGGAGGAAUGUAUGGAGCUACUGAUCUUCUGAGACCAAUCACUACUGGGCCUACUGGGGCAGAAAAGCCAAUGAUAGUAGAGCUUGCUGUUGCAGCAAUGGAGGAACUAAUGAGAAUGGCUCUGGCUGGAGAACCGUUGUGGGUUCCUGGUGAGAAUGCCACUGAGGUGCUUAAUGAGGAGGAGUAUUUGAGAGCUUUCCCUAGAGGCAUUGGGCCAAGGCCUUUGGGAUUGAGGUCAGAAGCCUCAAGGGAAUCCGCAGUUGUUAUCAUGAAUCAUGCUAACCUUGUUGAGAUUCUAAUGGAUGUGAAUCAAUGGUCUACUGCGUUUUGUGGAAUUGUAUCAAGAGCAAUGACCCUAGAAAUCCUAUCAACAGGAGUUGCUGGGAACUAUAAUGGAGCUUUGCAAGUGAUGACAGCUGAGUUCCAAGUCCCUUCACCACUGGUUCCAACCCGAGAAAUUUACUUUGUAAGGUACUGUAAGCAGCAUGUUGAUGGAACUUGGGCAGUGGUUGAUGUUUCGCUGGACAAUUUACGCCCUAUUCCAAUAUCAAGGAGUAGAAGAAGGCCCUCAGGUUGUGUCAUUCAAGAAUUGCCAAACGGAUACUCAAAGGUGAUAUGGGUCGAGCACAUCGAAGUGGAUGAUAGGUCUGUUCACAAUAUAUACAGGCCACUAGUUAAUUCUGGUCUAGCUUUUGGAGCAAAACGUUGGGUCGCUCUCUUAGAUAGACAAUGCGAACGUCUUGCAAGUUCAAUGGCCAUCAACAUUCCAGCGGGAGAUCUCUGUGUGAUAACGAGCCCAGAAGGGAGGAAGAGUAUGUUGAAGCUGGCUGAAAGAAUGGUGAUGAGCUUUUGCUCUGGUGUUGGUGCUUCUACAGCACACGCCUGGACAACAUUAUCUCCAACUGGGACUGAUGAUAUAAGGGUCAUGACCAGAAAGAGUAUGGAUGAUCCAGGUAGGCCUCCUGGAAUUGUACUUAGCGCGGCAACAUCCUUCUGGAUUCCGGUUCCUCCCAAGAGAGUAUUUGAGUUCCUAAGCGAUGAGAACCAUCGAAGAGAGUGGGAUAUCCUUUCAAAUGGCGGUCAAGUUGAAGAAAUGGCUCACAUUGCUAAUGGACGUGAUCCAGGAAACUCAGUUUCUUUACUUCGUGUGAAUAGUGCAAACUCAAACCAAAGCAACAUGCUGAUAUUGCAAGAGAGCUGCACAGACUCUACAGGGUCAUAUGUUAUCUAUGCACCAGUAGACAUUUCUGCCAUGAAUAUAGUGCUAAGUGGUGGGGACGCAGAUUACGUUGCUCUUCUUCCAUCAGGUUUUGCUAUACUUCCUGAUGGACCUGCAGGAUUUAGCCCCGGAGGAAUUGUUGAUGUUGGUUCCGGCGGUGCUCUACUCACCGUUGCAUUUCAGAUCUUAGUGGAUUCAGUUCCAACUGCAAAACUCUCUCUUGGAUCAGUAGCAACAGUAAACAAUCUAAUUAAGUGCACAGUUGAAAGGAUCAAGACUGCAGUGACUAGCGAGAAUAAUGCAUGAUUAGAAAGCCUAGAAGUAAUGCAAGGAAUUAUAUUUGAUGUUUGCUUCAAGACGUACUUAGAGCUAGAAGAAGUCAAGAGCGCACCUUAAAUGAUCCUGUUUGUUUAGGCAGAUAUGGAGUCAAAGGAAAGUCACUUCAAUUCAUCACCACUCUGCAAGGGUUAAAGGUUCGGGCAUUGACUUUGGCAUUCAUGUUUUUUGGUAGUUUUUCAGUAUUAAUUAUUCUUCCUGUCUCCUUUGUAGACUUCAAAUCUCUGGCUGUAGAUUUGCAUAACUGCUUGUUUAAUCCUAGCUUAAAGAUAAAAUCUCUCCAAUGGUGAAGAUAUGCAAG
rnacentral:misc_RNA from 1 species